rnacentral:lncRNA from 1 species
GUUAUAUAGAUUGGGUCUCAGGUGACUUUGGGUCUCAGAUGAUUUGUGGUUCCGAAUUCAAGCCGAAGCUUUGAUCCUGUGCUCCGAGAUACACAGCCAGCCAGUCUUGUCUGCAUCAUUUGCAUCAUAGCAUGUUUAUUUUUAAAAAAUAAUGCAAAAAAAAAUGAAAAAAGAAAAUAAGAAAGAAAAAAGCUAAUCUCCUC